rnacentral:tRNA from 1 species
GCCGCGUUGGCCUAAUUGGUAGGGCGUCUCUUUCCUAAGGAGAAGCUUGCGGGUUCGAGUCCCGUACGUGGUA